rnacentral:rRNA from 1 species
GACGAACCGUGCGAACGUUUUUCGGAAUCACUGGGCUUAAAGCGCGUGUAGGCGGGUCGGCGCGUCGGGCGCUGAAAUCCCCCGGCUCAACCGGGGAAGCGGCGCCGAUACGGCCGGCCUGGAGGGACGUAGGGGGGGCUGGAACUUCCGGUGGAGCGGUGAAAUGCGUUGAGAUCGGAAGGAACGCCCGUGGCGAAAGCGAGCCCCUGGACGUCUACUGACGCUGAGGCGCGAAAGCCAGGGGAGCGAACGGG